GUUGGUUCUCUCUCAUGAGCCCCCUCACCAUGUGAUGUCCCAAGCUGCCUUGGGACUCUGCAGAGGGUCCCCAUAAGAGGAAGGCCCCGACUAGAUGGAAUCCUUUGUCCCUGGACUUCUCAGCCUCCAGAACUCUUUCCCAUUGAGUGUUUUCAAUGGGAAAUGUCUAACUGCUCUGUGGGUGUACACCACGGCCAGUUGCUAAUUUUGGAACACUUGUGAAUCCUGGGCCCAGAGUCAUGACCAAUACUGAAACCUGCAAAGGACACAGGCCCUCUUGGUGGUCUCCUCCUGGAUGCCUUGCUUUCUCCUGGAAGAGUCCUCCCUUCCACCCCGGAUAUCACUGUGAACCUGAUUCCCCAGGAUCAACCAUCUGAGCAGAUACCUUGGAAUGUCCCCAGAUUUCAGAGCCUCGGACCAGCAGCAACACACUCUGAAGUAGGUCUCAGAAGACAAAAAGCUGAAAUCAACUCAUGCUUCCUGCUACACAGAAUCCACUGAGAGGAAAAGGAAACUUCACCGAAACUUCAGAAAGCUACAGAAAUGACAUCCAUUUUCACAAUCCCAGAAGGAAAGAUGCAUCUGAAGGGAAUAAAAACAGAGCAAUGGAAGAGUAUUUGUUAAAAUAAAUGGCUUUGACAGGGCAUUUUCUCUAAAGGUCUCCUUUGCCUCAAAUAGUACUCCUGCCUUCAGUCCAUCUUGCAUGCCACCCAGCUGUGGGCAUCCUGGCAGUUGCUGCCAUGUCCUUGCCUAAAAGCCUCCACCCCCAACCAACCCACC
rnacentral:lncRNA from 10 species